UCACUUCUGUGGGCAUCAUAAUCAGCUUUGUGAUGGCAAGUGGCCAGAAUGUAUAGGAGAGAGAGACUGUUGAUGGGCGUUCUGGGAACUCAGACCCCCUCAGAACCCACACCCCAGGAGGGCUGCAGCAGCUCACUUAGUCACGGCCCUUCCCCAGCCUGGACCUCAGUUCUCUCAUCUGGACAGUGGAAGAAUUAGACUGGACUGCCAUCCAAUAGGAUCACCUGGGGAAGUUUGCCACACCAUGCAUGCCUGGCGCCAGCCUCAGGCUUGGUAGGAUGUGUGUCAAUGUGUGUCCCUCAGUGGAGACCUAAUGGUGACAGUGAUGGCUGUGGAGGCCCCUCCAGAUCCAGACAUUUACCAGUGUGUGUCUCCUGCCCAGAAGGUGCCUUUCAGGAGCUCGUGCUUCCCAGGGCUAGACAUACUCCUCGUCAACACAACCCAGGCACUCAGGACACACUGGUGGAUUCCAACAGUUGCCAAGGCUGGGCUCGAACCUGUGACCCUCCUACCUCAGCCUUCUAGAGCGUUGGGAUUACAGAUGUGCACCACCAUUCCCAUCCACAGCUCCUGCAUAGGAAGAGGACUGGGGUGA
rnacentral:lncRNA from 1 species